GACGAACGCUGGCGGCGUGCUUAACACAUGCAAGUCGAACGGAAAGGCCCUGCUUUUGUGGGGUGCUCGAGUGGCGAACGGGUGAGUAACACGUGAGUAACCUGCCCUUGACUUUGGGAUAACUUCAGGAAACUGGGGCUAAUACCGGAUAGGAGCUCCUGCUGCAUGGUGGGGGUUGGAAAUUUUCGGCGGUUGGGGAUGGACUCGCGGCUUAUCAGCUUGUUGGUGGGGUAGUGGCUUACCAAGGCUUUGGCGGGUAGCCGGCCUGAGAGGGUGACCGGCCACAUUGGGACUAAGAGACGGCCCAGACUCCAACGUGAGGCAGCAGUGGGGAAUAUUGCACAAUGGGCCGAAGCCUGAUACAGCAACGCCGCGUUCGGGAUGACGGCCUUCGGGUUGUAAACCGCUUUCGCCUGUGACGAAGCGUGAGUGACGGUAAUGAGUAAAUAAGCACCGGCUAACUACGUG
rnacentral:rRNA from 1 species